UUCGCAAUGCCCGAAAGGGUGACAAUGCGACGCCGCGUGUGCGAUGAAGGUUUUCGGAUCGUAAAGCACUGUCGAUCGGGAUGAAUCUCGGGAGGCUUAAUAAGCUUUCUGGGUGACAGUACCGGUAGAGGAAGCCACGGCUAACUCCGUGCCAGCAGCCGCGGUAAUACGGAGGUGGCAAGCGUUACUCGGAUUGAUUGGGUGUAAAGGGUAUGUAGGUGGUGAAUUAAGUCGAACGUGAAAUCCCUUGGCUUAACCAAGGAAUUGCGUUCGAAACUGAUUCGCUUGAGCGAUGGAGAGGAAAGGGGAAUUCCCGGUGUAACAGUGAAAUGUGUAGAUAUCGGGAGGAACACCAGUGGCGAAGGCGCCUUUCUGGACAUUUGCUGACACUGAGAAUACGAGAGCUAGGGGAGCAAACAGGAUUAGAUACCCUGGUAGUCCUAGCCGUAAACGAUGGGCACUAAGUAGAGGGGUUUU
rnacentral:rRNA from 1 species